GAUGUUAGGCAGGAGAGUGUUCGGCGACGGCAGUGGAGGCGAAGAUCCGAAGGCCGACGAGUUCAAAGAGAUGGUGGUGGAGCUGAUGGUCCUGGCCGGAGUUUUCAACAUCGGCGACUUUGUGCCGGCGCUGGAAUGGCUGGACCUGCAGGGCGUGGCUGCCAAGAUGAAGAAGCUCCAUGCUCGGUUUGACGCUUUCCUGGGCGCCAUCGUGGAGGAGCACAAGAUCAGCGGCUCUGCUGGUUCCGAGCGUCACGUGGACUUACUCAGCACGUUGAUCUCGGUGAGGGAUAAUGCCGACGGUGAGGGAGGCAAGCUCACCGACGUUGAGAUCAAAGCCUUGCUCUUGGUAUCUCUCAUUAUCCAUUUUCUUUCGUUCCUUUUAAAAAAAAAAUAAUUAUAUUUAUUUACAUUUUUUCCAGAAAAAAAAAAAAAAUUAUUAAUGGGGUCAAAUCUCCCAAAUAAAGUUUGAUAUGGACAUUACAAUAAACUUUUGUUUACUUGUAAAAGUAAGAAUUAUUAUCUGUCACUGUUUCGUCUACUUCUUGUGGUAAUUUGGUACCUGAAAUUGAUGAAAACCGUCUGUUGACAUGGCAGAACUUGUUCACAGCUGGAACUGACACCUCAUCCAGCACAGUAGAGUGGGCCAUUGCAGAGCUCAUUCGCCACCCUGAAAUGAUGGCCCAAGCCCAACAAGAGCUGGACGCAGUGGUGGGCCGAAGCAGGCUUGUAACUGAUUUGGACCUGCCCCAACUCACCUAUGUCCAAGCCAUAAUCAAGGAAACCUUCCGCCUGCACCCAUCCACGCCCCUCUCCCUCCCUCGGAUGGCGGCGGAGAGCUGUGAGAUCAACGGCUACCACAUCCCCAAAAACGCCACUCUUCUAGUGAACGUGUGGGCCAUAGCGCGGGACCCAGAGGUGUGGGAGGAGCCACUAGAAUUCAGGCCCAACAGGUUCCUCCCAGGAGGGGAAAGACCAAAUGCGGACGUGAGAGGGAAUGAUUUUGAAGUGAUUCCAUUCGGGGCUGGCCGGAGAAUAUGCGCGGGGAUGAGCUUGGGACUGAGGAUGGUGCACCUGUUAACCGCGACGCUUGUUCAUGCGUUCAACUGGGAGUUGCCGGAAGGCCAGGUGGCGGAGAAGCUGAACAUGGAUGAGGCAUAUGGGCUGACCCUACAACGAGCCGCCCCACUCAUGGUGCACCCACGGCCAAGGCUGUCACCCCAAGUUUUCGGGAAGUAAAUGAGGUUGUUUGCCCAUGAUUAAAAUAGAAGACUUGGUGAUGGAUUUGGCUGAAUAAUUAUGAUGUUCGAGAGCGAGUUUAGUAGUUUUGUGAUGGGUUUUCCCUCAACCACCUGCAUGUUAAUACUGUAAACGAUGAUUCUCAAGGGGUAUCUAAUAAUGCAAUAUGUUGGUUUAAAAUUUAAAAUAUUUACUUCACAAUAUCGAGCGUAGGAGAAGAAACUAGAAAGUCAUAUGAUGAAUAAUGUCCCCAAAACUCAAACAGAGAUCAUCACAAUCUAAAGAGUCGUGCAAGGCGGCGAGUGUACCAACUACCAAUAAAAGCACGAAAGCUGAACAAGGAGUAGCUUCAUCUGUCAUCUGACCAACCAGCCUCCUCACAAAAUACCAUAUUCCAAGUCAAAGGUAGUAUAUAUGAUUUAUUGGACGAGAAGUUGAGGCUCCAAACAUCUUUAAUACAGCACCUUUCAAACAAGAUACUUGAAAAUGUACAAAAUCACCUCAUCUCGAAACCAGGAUUAUAAAAGAAGACGACCUCCCGGACCUAUCAGAUGACCUGAUCGUACAAAAUCACCUCAUCCCGAAACCAAGACUAUAAAAGAAGACGACAUCCCGUACCUAUAAUAUGACCUAAUUGACCGACAUGUGUCUAAAAAGACGAGUCCAAUUACCCUUAUCCCCUUUAUCCUUAUAUGCACAAAAGUCAAUAAAGCCUACCGUAAAAAGUGUGCUGAAACAACUCCUUCAUAAAGAAAGUAACUUUAAAAGAGAAGUCUCUUCCUCCUUAAGGGCUCUCUCUCUCUCUCUCCAUCUUAAAGAAGAGAAAAUGUAUCUUUGUAUCCAAAAUGAUUGAAUAAAAUAUCUAAUAUGUUUCUUGAAGAAUUUUAGCAUAUUGAAGAAGUAUCAUAACUCCUAAUAGAUUUAAUUAUCACUAAAAUUAUUGAAAUAAAACCUCUAGAUGUGUUGUGAUCAUGAAUGCUUAAAUACAGUAAUUUUUAUUUAUUUUUAAAAUAAAUAAUAAAUUAAUUAAUUUAAUCUUAUAUAUUCUCUAGAUCAUGUGGUAUCUUUUAAUUUUUUAAUAUUAAUUUUUUUACAAAUUAAUUAUCAAAUUUAUAAAAACCCCAUGAAUAAUUGACUAAAUCGAUUCUUCCCUAACUUUCAAUAUCUUUCAUAAAUAGGUAAUUUUUUAAAAUAUUAAAGAGUAGCGUGGAAACUAAUUAUUAAUCUAAUUACGAUAUUAAAUAAAUAAAAAUUAGAUAUUUUUGAAAUUCAUGUACUAUAUAGUUAUUUUUUCAUAAAUAAAUUCUUAUUUGUAAUUAAUAAUUUACAUUAAUAAAAAUUUAUAACAUUACUUAUAUCAUCGUAAUAAAUUUAAAAAAUGUGGACUUUGUUGAGGCCUCGCGUCCGUGGUAAUCCAUGUAGUUGCCAAAUGGAUGGACGCACGAUCUCAACCAAUAUAGAUUUCUGGUUUAGUCGUUCCUGCAAAAGGCGUCUGGACAGGGUGUCUGGAUACACCCUCCGAUGGUAUUGUCAGCCAUGGUCCAAGAGAUAAAUCAGUUGGCCUUUUACUAGGUAUAUCAAAACUUACCUUCCUCUUUGUGCGAAGGUCCAUAUAUAUCGUCUCAGAAGCUCUAUCUCCCUCUUUAAUGAUAGAGAGAUAUUUUGGCUUGUCAUGAUGUCUCUAGGUGGUGACAGGGUCAUCAUCACUCGUAGGGCGGCUGACAAAGAUCGUGGGAGGCGCCGCAGCUGUCAGAGAUCGUAGGAAGUGACUUGCCAUCAUUCCUGUCCUUUCACUCUGCAGGUGGCGGAACGUGGGCCGUGAAAGACUGUCGGAAUGACGUAGUAAGACUUGCUUACUUUAGUCAACGAUCCGGACAAACAUAUCCGGAUAGGAUAUGUCAGUCGUUCGGAUGUGAUAUGACGAUCGUCCGGAUGUGAUGUUUGCGAGUGUCAUGUGCUUCUCCCUGAGGAAGUCCGGAUAUGAGAAGCGCGUCACGUGUCUCCUUUGGGGGAAAUCCGGAUGGAGCUAAUCCGGAUAGAAAUGUGUGCCACUUGUCAUCAGGGGGAGGGGUCCCUACAGACUUGUCGUUCAUUUCUUUCUCUCUCAAUAUAUUAUUAAAUACAUAAAUUAAUAAUAUUUAUUAAAAUGAUAUUUGCAAGUUGGGGGUGGGAUGAGAACUAUUAAAUACAUAAAUUAAUAAUAUUUAUUAAAAUGAUAUUUGCAAGUAGGGGAUGGGAUGAGAACUCGUGUUGGGAUUUUUGAUCCUAAACGUCUAAUUGAAGGGAUUUUGAAAAAAAAUAUUUAUUAAAGUAUAUCAAUUUUAAAACCAUUUUCAAAUCUACUAUAUUUUUUAUAAUAUCAAUUAAAAAUUAUCUUUUUAUAAAACACCAACUUUAAAUCAAAUAUGAAAAUUAUUUUGUGAAAAAUUAAUUUUAAAAUUCAACUAAGUUUUCUCUUCAGAAAACAACUUUUACUUUAAGUUUUUGAAAGUACUAUACAUUUGGAAGUAGUUUCAAAAGUGUGAUAUUUUAAUAAAUAUUUUUUAAAAUUGCAAUAUUUUUUUCAAAAUCUUGACACUUAAGAUAGAGUGGGCAAGCAUGGGAAAAAAAUUUACAUACACUCAAAUUUAUGUCUUAGACUAGGAACUGAAAAAUUGUGGGGCAUAUGGAUAAUACAAAAACAAUUAUCUUACUUAGAGUUACUUAUUAUUACUUAUUAUUACUUAUGCAUUAAUUAAAAGGAAAGUGUUAAGGUAUCCAAAUGCUACAUAUAGAACUUCAAAUUCGGACUAAAUUGAAUAUAUAUAUAUAUAAUGAUAUUUAAGUAAUGAAAAUUCAAACAACUAGGAUUAUGGUAUAAGAAUAGGAAUAAAUGAGAUUAUGAUACAAAUAAUAACAUUUGAAAAUGUAUACCUAAGAUCAUUUUAUUGAGUUUUUUCAUACAUUUAUUUGAGCUUAGGAUUGCAGAUGGUGCAUGUUGGGAAGUGUCACAAAUUCCUAAUUAGUAAAGAUUGAGAGAUAUUCAAUGGAACGAGAUGACUCGUGGUUCAAGGUGUAAAUAUAAAGAGUGAAAAUAUAUUUUGAGAACCUAAUAAUUAUAUUUGGUUUUGUCCUCUAUAAUGUUCUCUGUGAUAUAAUGAAAAGAUUUUCUCUCGUCCGUGAAUAUAGGUAUGAUUGAUCAAAUCACGUUAAAACCUCAUUGUAGCCUACUCUCUACGGUGAAUGGUUUGUUUUUGUUUUUUGUUUUUAUUUAUUUAUUUAUUAUUUUGUUCUUCUGACCACCCGGAAUCAUUAAAACCUCGUUGUAGCGCCCCUGCCUCCUGUGAAAGGGUUUGUUUUUGUUUCUAUUUUUUUUUUUUUUUUUUUUGUUAUUCUGAUCACCUCGGAAUUAAGCUGAUGGGGCGACCAAAUACGAAAGGGGAGAGAGAGAGGGAGUUUUGGGCAAACAUGAUUCCGAAAUUCACGGAAUCAUUAUUCUUAUUUUAAAGUCUUGGGCGACGGUGAAUAACUUUUUAAAAUUUCCUAAAAUUUUAAAGUCUCAAAUUUAUUUAUUUAUUUUAAAAAUACCAUUCUCAAAAUAAUUUUCUAAAAUUUGAUUUUAAAAAUUUAGUUUUCAAAACUUUAAUUCUCGAAAUUCACUCUUCUAAAACUCCAUUUUUUAAAAUUUAAUCAUUUAAAAUUCAAUUCUUGAAAUAAUUUUCUAGAAUUCUAAUUUUAAAUUUAAUUUUCCAAGAUUCAAAUUUUUAAAAUUUAAUUUUCCGAAAUUUCCACAAUCCCGAAUUUAAUUUUUUAUUUUUUAUUUUUUUAUGUCACAUUCAAAUAAAUUUUCGAAACUCCAAUUCCUUUUUAUUCAUUUACUUAUUGAUUUUUAAAAUUCCAUCUUUUAAAUAACUCUUCAAAAUUCUGUUUUUAAAAUUUAAUUCCAAUUUCCAAAAUUCCAAUUUUCGUAUCAAUUUAUUUAAUCAUUAUCACUUUAUUCAUUCAUUUAUUUGUUUAUUUUUUUAAAAUUCAAUUUUUAAAUAACUCUUCAAAAUUUCAUUUUUUAAAAUUUAAUUCCAAUUUCCGAAAUUCCAAUUUUCGUAUCAAUUUAUUUAAUCAUUAUCACUUUAUUCGUUUAUUCAUUUGUUUAUCUUUAAAAUUCAAUCUUUAACUCUUCAAAAUUUCGAUUUCUGAAUUUAAUUCAAAUUUCCAAAAUUCUAGUUUUCUUAUCGAUUUAUUUAAUCACUAUCAUUUUAUUCAUUUAUUUAUUUGUCUAUUUUUAUCAAAAUUCAGAUUUCCAAAUUAAGUUUCCAAUUUCCAAAAUUCCAUUUUUUUCAUUUACUUAAUCAUCAUUAUUUUCAUUAUUAUCAUUAUUCUAUUUAUUUAUUUCAAAAAUUCCUUCUUCAAAUGAUUCCAAUCUUAUGACUUUCGAAUUUAAUUUCUAAUCUAAAAAAUUUCAAUAUUUAUGUACGUUUUUCCCAAAACCCCAAUUUCCGAACUUAAUUUUCCAAAUUCCAAAAUUCUAAUUUCCUUCAAAUUUACUCUCCAAAAUUCUGAUCAUUAAAUUUAAUUCCCAAGACUCUAACUCCCAAAUAAAUUUCAAAAGUCCAGUUUUCACUCGAACGGUUUUGAUUCCACUCUAGUUUUCAAAUAAUCUUCUUUUUCUUUUGAUUUUAUAUAAGCGUGAAUGCAAUUUUCAUAAUUCCAAAAUAAUGGAAUUUGUGAUAUUAAUUCAUGCAAGAUUAAUCGGGCUUUGGUAGGGGCCCACAUAUGAGUUUUCUCUUCUGAUUGUAAAUUGUUAUGCUUGAUGAGUAUUGUUUGAUCUUUGUCUUGCUCUUUGAUAUGCAUGUGAUGAUUUUAUAUCUGAGCUAACCUUGUUUCCAUGAUAAUGCACUAUUACCUGCUGUCAAGAUACGCUCCCACUCCCGCUUUGCUUACUCUUAUGCGCGAUUCGUUUUAUUAUUUGAUCAUUUCAUUAAUAUCCAUUGACUUCCUUAUCAAUUGCCACACUUCCUUCACCUUAUUUAGUAGAGAUCCGAAUUUAGGGACUUAGAGGGGUGCUGCGGUCCUUAUCAUACCUUCCCGAUAAGUAACCUGACCCCCGAGCCUAAUCCGGUUUUUCACAGACCACCUUUUUCGAAAUAAUGAGUCACACUUAGGGUUUUAUUUCUUAUUUUAUUUACCCUUUAAAAAUAAAACAAAAAUAAGUAGUGACUCCAAGUCCUUUUUUAAUCAAUAAAUCAUUUUUUAAAAAUAAAAAUUGAACUCGCCAUCGAGUGGAAGCGCAUGAGCCGAAAUGCGGGGUCCACACUUACGUAAUCUAACAUUAUUUAUAUUAAAGCUUUUGUUAACGCAACAAACUAGUCUUCAAAUUGAUGAAUGGGGUUUUUUUUUUUUUUUUUUCNNNNNNNNNNNNNNNNNNNNNNNNNNNNNNNNNNNNNNNNNNNNNNNNNNNNNNNNNNNNNNNNNNNNNNNNNNNNNNNNNNNNNNNNNNNNNNNNNNNNNNNNNGGGGUUUUUUUUUUUUUUUUUUCUCAUUCAUACUGUGGACCCCGCAUUUCGGCUCAUGCGUUUCCCACUCGAUGGCAAGCUCGAUUUUUAUUUGAAAUUUUGAUUUUUAUUUGAUAAAGAAAAAUGACUUGGAGUCGCCACUUAUUUUUCUUUUAUUUUUAAAAAGGUAAACAAAAUAAGAAAGAAAAACCCUAAGUGUGACUCCUUAUUUUGGAAAAGGUGAUCUACGAAAUAUCGGAUUGGGUUCGGGGGUCAGGUUACUUAUCGGGAAGGUACGGUAUAAACCGUAGCACCCCUCUAAGUCCCUAGAGUCGGGUCUUUACUAAUACAAUGAAACUGACGUGGCAAUCAACGAGAAAGUCAAUGGAUACACACCUAAAUUAUACACAAUAUGGGAAUCAAAACACGCAAUAGAGAUUGACUAGAAUGAGAGUGGAUGCGUACCUCGACCACAAGCCACAAUGCGCUAUCAAGAAACGGGAUUAGUGCACAAUUAAGGAACACAAAAAAUAGCUCAUGCAUAUCGGAGUGCAAAACGAAGCUCAAGCAAAAUACAUUAAGAGCCCGUUUGGCAGUGAUUUUUAAAAGUGUUUCUACCCUUAAAAACACUUUUAAGUGUUUUUGGGAUGAAAAUAAAGUGUUUGGCAAAUUUUAAAAAACACUUUUGAAAAUCUGGAAAAACACUUGAAGUGAUUUUUAGAGAAUCACUUGAUAGGUGUUUUUUUAAAAAAAACACUUCAAUUUUUUUGAAAUAUUCCAAAAAUGCCCCCCAGUGAUAAAUCAAUUAGAAAAAUCUUUUUUUUUUUUCCAGAAAUUAAUAGGUGGUCAUAUAUUGUUUUACUUUUAAAAUUAUCUUUUAUUCAAUGUUCUUUUUUUUUUUUUAUUGAUUUAGAUGUUUUUUGUAAAUAUUUUUUAAAAUUUUAGUAUAGUGAUAAAAAAAUUAUUAUUUUUAAUUAGAAAAGUCUUUUUUUUUUUUUAGAAAUUAAUAGGUAAUCAUAUAUUGUUUUAAUUUUAAAAUUAUCUUUUAUUCAAUGUUAUUUUUUUAGUGAUUUAGAUGUUUUUUCAUUAAUAAAAAGUUUUUUUUGUUUAUCAUACCAUUUUUUUUUAAUUAAAAUUGUAUGUCCUUUUUGGUAAUUUAUUAAUAUUAAAAGUGUUUUUAUAUUUAUACAAUAUAUUAUCAAAAACACUUUAGAAUCAUUUUUUCUGAUUAUCAUAAAAGUGUUUUUCACAGAAACACUAUAACAGAAAACACUUCAAAUAAAAACACUUCCACUAGAAUCACUACCAAACGGGCUCUAAGUACGACAAUUGACAAUAAAAAAAGGAUCACACAUAGGGCCCCCACCAAAGCCCAAUUUAUUACUCAUGAACUAGUCUCACAAAUUCCGUGUUUUAGAAUUAUGAAGAAUUUAUUAUUGUUUAUGUAGAAUCAAGAAGAUCAGAAGAUUAUUUAAGAACCGGAAUAGAAUUAAAACUAUUCAAGUGAAAACUGGAUUUUUGGAAUUUACUUGAAAAUUGGAGUAUUGGGAAUUGAAUUUAAAAUAUUAGAGCUUCGGUAAUUAAAAUGAAAUUUGCCAAAGAAGAUGAGAAAUGAACUUUAGGAAAUUGAUUUGCGAGAAUAUGGGUUUUGAAAGUUGAAUUUGUAAUAAUAAUAAUAAUAAGGAGUGAACUUUAGGAAAUUGAACUGCGAGAAUAUAGAUUUUUAAUAAUAAUAAUAAUAAAAAAAAAUAAACUUUAGGAAAUUAAAUUGCGAAGAUAUAGAUUUUUAUUAAUAAGUAUAAUAAUAAUGAUAAUAAUAAUAUUAGGAAAUUGAACUGAGCGAGAGUAUAGAUUUUUAAUAAUAAUGCUAAUAAUAAUGCUAAUAAUAAUAAUAAUAAUAAUAAUAAUAAUAAUAAUAACCAUAAUAAUGAUAAUAAUAACAAUGAGGUUUUGGAAUAAUAAUAAUAAUGAUAACAAGAUUUUGAAAGUUGAAUUAAUAAUAAUAAUAAGAAUAAUAUUUUAAAAGUUGAAUUAAGAAUAAUAAUAACAAUAAUAUUUUAAAAGUUGAAUUAAUAAUAAUAAUAAGAUUUUAAAAGUUGAAUUAAUAAUAAUAAUAAUAAUAAUAAUAAUAAUAAUAAUCAUAAUAAUAAUAAGAAUAAUAAGAUUUUUAAAUAAUAAUAAUAAUAAGGUUUUGAAAGUUGAAUUAAUAAUAAUAAUAAUAAUAAUAUUUUAAACGUCGGAUUAAUAAUAAUAAUAAUAAUAAGAUUUUAAAAGUUGAAUUAAUAAUAAUAAUAAUCAUAAUAAUAAUAAUAAUAAUAAUAAGAUUUUGAAAUAAUAAUAAUAAUAAUAAGGUUUUGAAAGUUGAAUUAAUAAUAAUAAUGAUAUUUUAAAAGUUGAAUUAAUAAUAAUAAUAAUAAUAAUAAUAAUAAUAAUAUUUUAAACGUCGGAUUAAUAAUAAUAAUAAUAAUAUGGACUUCAAAAAAAUGGGCCUUAAUAAUGAUAAUAAUAGGCCUUGGACCUCAAAAAAAGGGCCUUGGGAAUGAAUAGUACAGGGGGCAUGAGGCCCUUCAUUAACGCGACUAGGCUUGGGCUUCCCCACCAGGCCCAUAUCCAUCAUCUUGGACAGGCCCCAAGCUCUAACUCCAUCACAUGCUUGGAUUGGGCCCCAACUCAAGCCCAAAUUAAAAGCAAACCCAAGAACACCAAAUUCUCUCACAGCCCACAUCUCCAACCUCCGCCUGGGCAUCACCAUCUAAAUACUCUGUGUCCUCGAGCUCACCGUCAACCUCAUCGCCUUCUUCAUCGGAACCCCACAUCUCAUCAUCCUCUUUCAAGGUUCGCCGCCCACGCGCACUCACACGCGCUUGCUCUGGUUGCCGAAGCCAAGGGUUGAACCAGUCUUGGACAGCCGCAAUAACGUCAGUGCGCGGGCAUCUGCUCAGUUCUCAUGUUAGACGAAGGAGAUGGGCCUUCCGAUCAGGGUUGAGGAGAAAAAGGGAGGAAGCGAUCCUGCUCGUUGGAGCAAUGCGCCAGGUGACCAUGGAGAUCGGUGGAGAAGUUACUCCUAGCCUCUGAGACGAGCAAUGGAGGAGGAGAAGCUCCACUGCCGCCAUUGAUUCAGCUGACUGGGCAAGCUUGAGGAGGCGGGUAUGAAGGAUGGCGGCCAUACAUGGCUAUGCGUGGCCACGUGAGAACGAGAGGAAUGAGUGCAAUGGACAAGGAAAAUGGGUUUGGAUAAGUUUAGAGAUAUGAUAUGCAUGGGCUGCUAGAGAGGAAUAUGAUGGAUGAACAUGGAGUAUACUAUGGAUGGGAAGGUAGGGAUGACUAUGCGCAUGGAGCUCCAUGCACACGAGAAGACAGAGAAUCAAAGGGUUAGUAUAGAUAGCAUGGGAUCUCAGACUUCAAUGUCUUCAAUAUUGCGUUCUCUGCAUCACUCCAAACAUGACGCUGGCUUUCAGGAUGGAGGCAAACAGAGCAAAGGAAAAAAAAAGCAAAACCAAGCAUGGAUAAUCGAAACAAAUGGAACCCAUAACAGCCUCAUGUUGUGCAUUAAUCCCUGGGCUUAGAUGGAGGUGGGUGAAAAUAAAGGAUCAUCAAACAAAACCAGAGCAUGGUUGCAGAUAUAUUAUGGGGAAAAACAAAGACGAAAUCACCUUAAGCAAGAACCAUUAAGAAGGGAUAUAUGGAUAUGCUUACCCUCAACACACAAACAUCACCCAAGAAUGGACAGAGAAAGAGAAGAGAACCAUACCUGUGAGUGAUCUUCUCUAACAAGAUCGAGCCAAAAACUCAGCAAAGCAUCCCUCUUUUCCCUUGCUUAGCUUUCCACCAUUCUCUCCUUUUCUUCCUUUCACUAUCUCCCAUCUCUCCCUCUUGUCCCGUCUUUUCCUCUCUGGCCCCCCACUUACUCCUCCUGCCACAGCCCCAAAGAAAAGAUAUAUUUAUUAUUAUUUUUUCUUUGCUGGCAGCUUCUCCUCCGAGCUAUCUCUCGCCGCCACCAGCAGCUCGCCUCAUCCCAUCCCAUGGCCGCCCGUUUCCCAGGUGGUCAGUAUAUAUAUAUAUAUAUAAACAAUCAGAUGUCUCUCAUGGGGGGUCUACACAUACUUUUAUUCAUUCAUGUAUAGAGUAUAUAUGAAGGAUAAUCACCAUUCUAAGAAUGGGAAAGAAUGAUACAAGGAAGGAAUGAUAUAAGGAAAUAAUGAUACAAGGAAAGGAAUAAUAUAAGGAAAUAAUGAUACAAGGAAAGCAUUCCUAAUAUCUCAACACUCCCCUCUUAAGGAAAAAAUGAUACAAGGAAAGUAUUCCUAAUAUCUCAACACUCCCCCUCAAGUUGGUGCAUAGAUGUCACACAUGCCCAACUUGUUUAAAAAUUUUGAGAACACUUGUCUUGAGAUAGCUUUGGUGAGGAUAUCAGCCAAUUGAUCUUCUGAUUUAAUCUUAGGCAAUUCCACAAUCUUAUCAUCCAACUUCUCCUUAAUGAAGAAUCUAUCCACCUCGACAUGCUUUGUAUGAUCAUGUUGUACUGGAUUAUGUGCAAUGUCACAUGCAACAUUAUUGUCAGAAAACAAUCGGAUUGGUUGCCUAGAUAGGUAACCUAAAUCCUGUAAGAGGAGUCUUAGCCAUAAUGCCUCACAAAGUCCUAAAGCCAUACCCCUAAAUUCUGCUUCUGCACUUGAAUGAGCAACGACAUUAUGCUUCUUACUUUCCAUGUCACAAGAUUACCACCUACAAAGAUAAAGUAACCAGAUGUAGACCGCAUAGCAUCCACUGUACCGACCCAAUCAGCAUCAGUAUAUACUUCUAUACUCUGAUGAUCAACAUUUUUAGCGAACAAAAUUCCCUUCCCAAGAGCAUUCUUCAAAUACCUCAAAAUACAUAUGAUUGCAUUCAUAUGUUGUUCUCCAGGAUUAUGCAUGUAUUGACUCACUAUACUCAGUGCAUAAGCAAGAUCUGGUCUGGUAUGAGCUAAGUACAUUAAUCUCCUUACAAGUCUUUGGUAUCUUCCUUUAUCGGUUGAUACUUGAUUAGGCUCAACACACAAUUUCAGACCUUUUUCUAUUGGUGUAUCCAAGGAUAGAAAUAUCGGUAAAUACGGAUAUAUCGGUACUUGGAUUUUACGGAUAUAUCGGAAAUAUCGGUGGAUUUUUCAUCAAAUAUCGGUGAGACAAAAAUUAUCCAAAAUUGAUGGGAAUGCUUAGAAAAAUCCAAAGAAUGAUAAAAUAAGCAAGAAUAUACAUGUUAAAGUUAUUUUAUAACUGUAAUUGACAUAAAUAUGGUCAAAGAAAAAAAUAUCGGUAAAUAGUUUACGAUACUUGGAUUUUAAGAAUAGAAAAUAUGAAAUUUGGAAUUGUACACUUAGAAAGUUAGAAUUGAGUUAAGAAAUAUUUGAUUUUAUUAAAUGAAAACAAUUUACACAUAAACAUAAUACAUAUGACAUUGCAAUGGUCCUUAAUACCAAAAUGAAGAUCGAUGUGGUUCCAUCAUAUUGUUAUUGUUAGAUGAAGGGAGCCCAUCUUGUUGAAGACAAUAUUCAUACCAGGACAUGGAGUUUCGAUAGUAUUGAUUGUAUGUACGAACAUGCCAUGCAUAAAUUUCUUGAGUCUACCAACAACUUGUCCAUGGAUAGGAAAUCCAAGGUUUUCCCAUGUGCUCGUUUGAAAUCCUUGUUGUUGCAACUGAUGUGGAAGGUAGUAUGGCAUUUGUGUGGAAGAAGGAUAGUUAUACCUUUCAUACUCUUCAUCAGUGGAACUUGAAAGAUUUUGAGGAGGCUGACCAUAACUCAUUGCAUAAGGGGCAUAAAUGUUGGCUUCGUUUGAUGAAUCACUGAAUUGAGUCUCUACACUCAUCGACUCAAAACUGGCCGACAAUGAGUCCUCGUUGUACAACAUCAUCCUUCGUUGUCUUCCUCUAUAUGGCUUUCCAAUGGCUCCAACACCUGGACCGGCUCUUCUAGAGCCGUGGUCUUCAUCUUGAGUACAAUGUGUGAAAUCAUCUUCACAAGUAAAUGCCAAUGGUUGUCCACUUUGUUGUUGUUGUCUAACAUCCCCUUCAUCAUUUCCAAGGUCGCUACCAUCAUUGGUCCCCUCUUCUCUUGAACCAUCAUAACCGGAAGCGGAGGCGAAAGUACCAGUAGCACUAGGUCUACUACUAUGUUCAACACUCGUGGAGUCAAAAGAAGGUCGAGAAGUGACUGCCGGCUGAGAAAUUCCUUGUCAAAAUGAAUAUCUCGUGUCUUGGCUGAAACUAUCAGUAUGAACUUCUUCGGAUAACACUCAAUCAACAUCAACACCUGCUUCUCGGACAUGUGCGGCAAUUCGUGGGUCGGGAUUUCCAUCUUCAUCAUCUAAAUGAAGAGGUCUAACCCAUUGAAACAAUUGGUUAUCUUCUUCUUCACCAACCUCAGUUGCAAUGUCAAGUAAAUCGAGGUAAUCUUUCUCUGCAACUUUGUCAUGUUCUGCUUCCAUGUCACGUAUCUUUAGUUUCAUGUUAUAAUAAUAGAAAACUAAUUGUUGGAGCAUCGGGUAAGCAAGCCGAUUUCUUUGUUUUGUAUGAAUUAAGGCAAACGUGCUCCAAUUUCUCUCACAAGCUGAAGAUGAUGCAGUUUGCGAUAAAGCCUUGAUGGCCAACCUUCUUAAUGUAGGAGUGUGAUUUCCAUACAUGAACCACCAUUCAGCUACAACCAAAUAAAUGAUAUCAAUACUUAUAUUGGAAAGUUACAAUAAUAUGCUAAUGAAAUGAAUUAUUAAUUCACAAAUAAUACUCACCGGGAACCAUUUCUGACCUCGAAGCAAUCGCUGCUCGAUCACCGAAUCCUCUUUUUGCAUCUCGAAAUAGUAUAAUCUACAUAUUAAAUAAUUGAAAGUGAAAAAGUUGAGUAAAUGAAAUUCAAUUAUUUAAUUUAUAUUAUAACUCUAAUAAUUUACCUCAUUUCCAAAUUGACUAAGACCUUCUGAUGUAGGAUCUAAUUUCGCAAAGACUUCAUGAACAGCUUGAAGUAGAUCAGGAUCAGUACCAACUCCACGUUUAUAUUGAAAUCUUGGAUUAAGAAAGAAUGCUACAAUAGUAAAGUAGAAAUGUAAAAUUAGAAUGUUAUGAAAGAAACAUAUUAAAUACCUAUAAAUUUCAAAGAUGAAUAAUACUUACCUGCUGCAUGAAGAGGAUGUUUAAGAGUUCUAUCCCAACGAUCUGCAAUUAUUUCUAACACCCAUUCUUUAGCAUUAAGUCGAAUGAGGUUCUCUUUCAUAACUCGAAUCAAUUCAUACACAAAUGGCAUUGUAGGAACAACUUCUGAAUCGACAAUGCGAAGAACUGUGUAUAACGCCUCAUAUAUUGACACUCACUUUCCCACUCUUUCCCAGUACGCAUGGUCAAACAUAAGUGAUUCAACUUCUUUGCCGAUUAAUGUGCGACUUAAGUUGUGUUGUGCCCAUUCAUCACUGAUAAACACUUUCUUCAAGUUUGCUUUCUUUUUCAAAAGACUGUCGAGGGCUAUAUAAUUGGUUGCAAAUAUUGUUGCUCCAGGACGAACUAUGUCUCCACCACACACCUUCCGCAUCUGUGCAAGCAACCAACCAUGGUUAUAAAUGAAGUUGGUUAUCUUUCGAGCCUUUGUAAUCACAUCUGCAACACUCGUCCUUUUACCGAUGUCUUCGAACAUUAAGUCGAUGCAAUGUGCUGCACACGGAGUCCAAUAAAGAUUGUAUUUUUUCAUUAACAACUUCCCCGCCUUCACAAAUGCCGACCCAUUAUCUGUAACUAUUUGGACCACAUUUUGUUUGCCAACUUCCUUGAUUACAUCCUUCAACAAACCAUAUAUGUAUUUGUUGUCCUUUAUAUUAUUUGAUGCAUCAACAGAUUUGAGGAAGAUUGUGCUACCUUUUGAAUAUACCAUGAAAUUAAUUAUGCUUAAUUUCGUGGGUCCAGUCCAUCCGUCAGACAUAAUCGUGCAUCCAUAAGUCUUCCACUUUUCUCUUUGAAUAUUGACAUAAGCUUCCAUGUCUUUGUACUCCAUAUCCAAAUACUCGUGUUUGAUUUCAUAAGGAGGCGGUGGUUCUAUACCCAUACCUACCAUCCAUAUAUAAUUAAAACAUAUAAGAACAUUUGUGGCAAUCAUACUAUAUAAAUAGUAAUGAUAUUGUUAAAAUGAAUACAACUUUUAAAAUUAUAGUAAUUACCUGCUUGUUGUGCACCAAUAAUCAUGUUCUUGAAGUGGUGAGAGUCUGCUUUAUUGGGCGGAACACUCUCAUAUAUGAAGAACUUACUGAUCAAAAGUCCCAUGGUUUCCUUGAUGGCACCACAUUUGAAAAGAUUUUUCAUAGUUUUCUGUCUUGCCGCUGAAGAUUUGUACAAUGAGGGUGCAUCAGGCAGUGAUGGAUCUGAAUAUCGAACACUUUGCGAUUUUCGCAUUUGCCUUGUUGUUGGAUUGGUUGGAUGUGAAGACUCGCCUAUUAUAAUUAUUAAAAUUAAACAUAUAUGCUAAUUUAAUAUUAUUGAUAAAGUUGAUAAGAAAUAGUAAUAAUUCAAAUUAAUAUUAUACUUGUUUUUCUUUUGCUUUUUAUAAAAUGUUCUUCUUGUUGUCGAUUCCAUUCAGCAGCUUUUGAUGCUUGAACCGCCUCUCUAUAAGCAUGUCGCUCAUCAGGGUGCAUGUCAGCCGGAUACAUAUACACAUCAUCAUCUCCAUCAUCAUCAUCACCACCAAGGUUCUCCUCAUCGUCCUCAUCAAUUACAUGUCUAUGUCUUCUUCCCAUUGUGUCUCGCAGUUCUGAUCGAAUCUCUUCUAUAUCUGCAGCUUUCUUCGCUUUUGCCUUAUUUUUUUGCUCUAGAAGUCGUCUUAUUUCUUGUUUCACUUCUGGAGGCACGUUAAGACACUUUUUUGUAUUUGAAUUAGGGUCUGUAUGUGAUAGGUGAAAUUUAAAACAAGUAAUCCCACCACUCUUUAUUGCCAACCCACAGUAAUUGCAUAUUGUUCCAUUUUUGUUCCCUUCCAUAGGUGUACAAUAUUUCCAACAAGGAUCUCGACCCAUGAUACCACUUUCACUAGCCAUUUUCUAAAAUUGAAUUAUGAAACUAAUAUCAAAUUUAAAAUUAUUAAAGAUAAAACAUGUAUGAAAUUUAAUAUUCAUGAAAUUGAUAAGAACUAAUAAAAAUUGAAAUUAAAAUUGAAUUAUGCACAUAUGAAAUAGAUAAACAUUACAAUAAAAUUUCAAUAUGAAUUAAAUUUAAAUUAAAUUAAAUUUGCAUAUUCAUGAAAUUGAUAAGAAUCAUUACUAAUAAAAAUUAAAAUUAAAAUUGAAUUAUGCAUAUAUGAAAUAGAUAAACAUUACAAUAAAAUUUUGAUAAGAAUUAAAUUAAAUUAAAUUAAAUUAAAUUUGCAUAUUCAUGAAAUUGAUAAGAAUCAUUACUAAUAAAAAUUAAAAUUGAAUUAUGCAUAUAUGAAAUAGAUAAACAUUACAAUUACAUUUCCAUAUGAAUUAGAUAAUAUCAAUUAAACUAUAUAUAACAAAUAAAAUUGAAUUAUACAUAAUAAAAUAAAUUUUAUGGAAGGUAAGACAUACCUUAAUUAGCCUUGACUUGGAGUUAAUCCCCUUCACCACCAAAUUUUCAAAAUAAAAAAAUUUUGCUAGAUCAUAUAAGAAUUUUGAUGUAUGAAAUGGAAUGGAAUGUGGGUAUUUAUAGGAAUUUUUUGGUCAAACUAGCCAUUGGAUGGUCAAAUAGUCGUUAUAAAUUAAUUUUAACCGUUGGAUCAAAAUUUGGUUCAAAUUUCACCAUUAGAUUUUCAUAUAACCGUUGGAAACACUCCAUAGCCCUUGGAUAAAGUGAAGAUUGAUUUUCCACCAUUGGAUCACAAAUCUGACCGUUGGAGGCCUUUACAAAUACACGGGUGAAAUCUGGGCCAUCAGAUCCUCAAAAAUUCAAAAUUGGCCAUCAGAUCAAAAUCAUUGGAGCUGGGAAAAAUCGGCGAUUUUCUCGGUAAAAAAUCGGCGAUAUAUCGGUAAAAUCGUCGAUUAAUCGCUGAUUUUUUCAACUCCUCUGGCAGCUUCUCCGCGCGUGCCUCCACUCUUCGAUUUUUUGCCGAUUUAUCGGUGCUUCACCGAUAUUUCGCCAAUAUAUCGGCGAUUUUGCCAAUUUUUGGCCGAUUUUUCCAUCGAUCGAUAAUCGGUGACGAUUAUUGUUUCAGUGCCGCCCGAUAUCCGAUAUUUAUUCGAAAUAUCAACGAUAUAUCCCGAUUUUUCAAUCCCUGGGUGUAUCAACAAGUUGACAUCCCGACAUUCCAGUCUCCUAUAAAAGAUUUAAGGCAUACUUUCUUUGAGACAGAAAAAUUCAUUCACUUGAUUGAGAAACUUCAAUCCCAAGAAAGUAUUUCGGAGGACCUAGAUCUUUCAUUUCGAAUUCUCUAGAUAGAUAAUUCUGUAGAGCUUUUCUUUCUUCAGGAUCAUUUCCUGUAACUACCAUGUCAUCCACAUAUACGAUGAGUGUCGUAAUCUUACCAUGUUGCUUUUUCAGGAACAAAGUGUGAUUUGAAUUACUUUGAUGAUAGCUAAAAGCUCUCAUUGACUUUGUGAACCUUCCAAACCAUGCUCUCGGGGAUUGCUUCAACCCAUACAAUGAUUUCUUCAAUUUGCACACCUUCUGACAUUGCUUUUCUGACCCCAUGCAUCCUGAUGGAAGAUCCAUAUAUACUUCUUCAGAUAACUCGCCAUGUAGAAAGACAUUUUUUACAUCGAAUUGUUGUAAUGGUCAAUCCAGGUUUGCAGCUAAAAACAGUAAUACUCGAACUGUAUUGAUCUUAGCUACAGGUGCAAAUGUCUCUGUAUAGUCAAUUCCAUAAGUUUGAGUGUACCCUUUUGCUACCAAUCUUGCUUUAAAACGUUCAAUACUACCAUCUGCCUUGUACUUCACAGUAUAGAUCCAACAACACCCAACUGGCUUCUUUCCUGGUGGACAUUCUACGAGUUCCCAUGUUUCAUUCUUCUAUAAUGAUUUCAUAUCUUCAUUCAUGACUGCUUUCCACCUUGGAUUAGCUAAGGCUUCCUGCACACUGUUAGGAAUAGUUACAAUAGAUAAUUGAUUUACAAAUGACUUAUUUGAUUCAGACAAACAAUGGUUAGAUACAUAGUUGCUCAUGGGAUAUUUGACAUUGGUAGACAAUUUAGGUUCAUAUGUGGGUUUAGGAAUAUCUCUAUUAUGACGGUGUGGAAACCGUUUUGUGAAUGGAUUAGGUUCCAAAUUAAGAACACCCUCAACAGACGACGAUUGGUUUGGUAUUUCAGUGAAGGCAUCUUUAGACCCAAAUUGCUCGGAUGGUUCAAUUGUACUGUCUCUCCCCUCUUUUAUCACUUCUUCAGCUUCUGGGUGGUCAUUACUACCUGGUUCACCCGCUUCUUUAUUCACUAGUUUAGAUUGUCCAUAUUCAUCCUCCUUAGAGAUAUCAUAAUCGAGAGUCUGAAUUUCCUUAUAGUACUCCCCUUGAAGUUCAGACUCAAAUGAAAAAUACAUUGAAUCUUCAUGAAACACCACAUCCAUUGUAAUAAACAUUCGUCGAGUUGGAGGAUGAUAACAUCGAUAUCCCUUUUUGUGCAAUGCAUAUCCAACAAACACAUAUUGCAAUGCACGGGAAGUUAACUUGGUGCGUUGGUGUUUGUGUAGAUGCACAAAUGCCAUGCAACCAAAAACACGAGGAGGUAGAUUUGGGAUGGUUGGGGCAACUACAACAUUAGUAAGAGCUUGGAGAGGUGUUUGGAAGUCAAUUGAACUGGAAGGUACCCGAUUGAUCAAGUAUGUAGCAGAUAUGAUUGCUUCUCCCCAAUAAGAUAUCGACAUUUUUGCUGCUAUCAAGGAAGCAUGAACAACCUCUAACAAGUGCCGAUUUUUUCGUUCAACGACUCCAUUUUUCUGGGGUGUAUUGGAACAAGUAGUCUGAUGAAUGAUGUCAUGUCCUUCCAAAUACUUUUGAAGAUCAGAAUUAUGAUAUUCUCCACCAUAUCGCUACGCAGAACCCGAACCUUUGCAUUGUAUUGAGUUUCAAUCAUUUUAUGAAAAUUUUGAAACAACAAGUUCACUUCAUCUUUGGUCUUCAUCAAGCAUAACCAGGUCAUUCUGGUACAAUCAUCAAUAAAAGUAACAAACCAACGCGAGCCUCUCAAAGUUGGGACUUUGGAUGGGCCCCAAACAUCAUAAUGUAUAACCAUAAAAGGAAGCGGACUUUUAUUCAAAAUUAACGGAAACGAAGUACGAUGACUUUUAGCCAAUUCAAAAAUAUCUCAACGAAAACCAGAAAUAUCACUCAUUGCAAACAAAUUAGGAAACAAUUUUUUAAAAUAGCCAAAGGAAGCAUGUCCCAAGCGUCGAUGGCACAACCAAAUUUCAGACUUUUUCUCCUCCCCCUCAAAUCCAUCUAUCAUCAAGGCUUGUCGUAAUUUAUUGGAAUCCUUUGACUGCAAGUCCAAGUAAUAGAGUUUUUCCACUUAAUACCACAACCAAUCGUCUGUCUUGUUUGGAUGUCCUUAAAAACACAAAAUUCAGGCCAAAAAAUGACAAUACAAGAUAAUGCUGCAGUGAUUUGAGAAAUUGACAAAAAAUUGUAAUCUAAAGAUGGAACAACUAAAAUAGAAUCCAAAUUCAAAGUAUCAGUAAGAGUUAAGGAUCCUUCCCCAAUGACUGGGGUUGUGUUACCAUUGGCUGUGGAAAUAAUUUUUUGUGAGGAAGGUAUAAGGGGUGAGACCUGUCUAGAAUCAAAAGUCAUAUGAUCUGUAGCACCAGAAUUAAUUAUCCAUGCACUAUUAAUAACAGGUGUAGAAGUAUUCAAAAACUUACCAUCAUAAUCUAUAUUGGCUACCAAUGCAGAGACAUUCUCAGUAACAUUAGCCUCUGUUUUUAUUUCGGCAAUAGCUGCAGUCGAGGUUUUCUUGGAAUUCUUCUUCCGUUGAUCACGAUUAUGAUCCCACCAGUCUGGAUAUCCCACAAUUUCAAAGCAACAACUCUUGGUAUGACCAGUCUUAUUGCAGUGAGUGCAUUUGAAGGUUGACUUAUCAAUAUUAGGGCCCGUCUUAGGAUGGUUGGUCUUGGAUUGGUCCUGCCAAUUCUGGGUUGAUCGCUGUCGGACUACCAUAGAUGAGGUGUCAGGAUUGUCAUAUUAUGUUUUCAUACUAGCAUGACGCACUGCCUCUCGUCGAAUCAGUGCAUAGCAUUCUUCCAAAUUGGGAAGAAGAUCUUUGCGUAGAAUCUCUCCUCGAACUUGCUCAAAGUCACCAUCCAAUCCAGCAAGAAAGAUGUGCACCCAUUGUUGUUCAAUGGAUUUCCGAUAUGUUGUAAUGUCAUCAGGGUCUUUCAUGACCACCUUAUCCCGAUGAUCCAAUUCGCAAAAAAUCUCAGUUAACUCUCCGUAAUAUUCAGAAAGAGACCUGCCGCUUUGUUUGGAAGUGAAUACUUUUUUUAUUCAAAGUGAAAACUUGUAAUUCAUCGCUUCCAUCAUAGAAGACAUUUGAUAAUGCACUCCAAAUUUCUUGAGCGGUGGGUAAGCGUAAGUAACACUUCAUAAUUUCUUGACUCAUGGACAUUAACAACCAUUUCUUCACCUUUUGAUUCUCAGCAUACCAUUUUUCAUAUCUAUCUUCUGACUCUUUUGGUGGAUUUGUUUUACCUCGAAUGUAGGAAAGUUUUUCCCGUUCAACAAUAUGCAUCUUCAUAAGUUGUGACCAAACGUCAUAGUUUGAUUCAAUCAAAAUAAUUCCUAGAUUAAAAGUACCUUCAGAUUGAAAAAUAAUAGUAUUUUUUUCACUUUUUUUUUUUUUUUGAUGAUUAAAUAUAAUAUAUAUUCAACUGGUGAUGUAGGAAGAAAGUGACAAAAAAUAGGGGACCCUAAAUAGAAAGAAAGAUUUUUCAAGAAAAUCAAAUAAUAGAGAAAAAAAUAGUAGAAGACACUGAAAGUACAAAUAAGCAUGCCAGGUUGUAGGACAAUGUCAGUUUUCCGGCAACUGUCCAAGAUUUCAGUUCCAUGGCUUUGAUACCAUCUUCAAAUUAAUGAAUGAGGUUUUUUUUUUUCUCAUUCAUAUUUUUAUUCAUUCAUGUACAGAGUAUAUAUAAAGGGUAAUCAUCAUUCUAAGAAUGGGAAAAAAUGAUACAAGGAAUGAAUGAUAUAAGGAAACAAUGAUACAAGGAAAGGAAUGACAUAAGGAAAGAAUGAUACAAGGAAAGUAUUCCUAAUAUCUCAACAACUGGUAUAUCACUUUUGACGAUAAAAGGAAUUUUAGUUAAAAGUGAGGUUAAUUGCUCUAUUGUAAUGAUAUGAUAUAAAAUGUCUCUUUGAUGGAAAAAAUUGAAAAUUGAGUUCAUAGAAUUUAGUCUGAAAAUUAUUGAAAAAUGUCUCAAAUUCUUAAUUAAUAAAAAUUUAUUUUUACACAGAAUAUUAUAUAAAAUAUUUUCUAAAUUAAUACAUCAUUGUAAUAUUAUAUUAUUUUAUAGAAUAAACAAAGUUAUUAGAAAUAUCUUAAUAAAUAUUUUAGGUUAAGAAAAGAAAAAGUUAAUAAGAUAAAUAUGAGCUUUUAGAGACUACACAUUGUUUUAUCUUAGUAUCGGAAGGCCAGGUUGCGGAGAAGUUGAACAUGGAUAAAGCAUAUGGGCUGGCCUUACAAUGAGCCGCCCCACUAAUGGUGCACCCACAGCCGAGGCUGUCACCCCAAGGUUUCGGGAAGUAAAUGAGGUUGUUUUCCCAUGAUUAAAACAGAAAACUUGAUGAUGGAUUUGGCUGAAUAAUUAUGACGUUGGAGAGCGAUGGAGUGUAGUAGUUUCGUGAUGGGUUUUCCCUCAGCCACGUGGACGUUAAUAUUGUAAACGUUGACUCUGAAGGAGCUAUCUAAUAAUGCAAUAUGUCGGAUUAAAAAUUAAAUUAUUUACCCCACAAUAUGAAUGUCGAGCGUAGGAGAAGAAAGUCAUAUGAUGAAUAUGAAGGCAUCACAAUCUAAAGAGUCGUGCAAUGCGGCGAGUGAAUAUGACCAAUAAAAGCACGAAAACUGAACGGGAGUCGCUUCAUCUGUCCUGCAUUCAUUUACAUUCUUUGCCCCAUUGGUUAAGAAUCCGUCCUGUUCUAGGAAAAUUUUUCCCAUCAUUUCGAAUGUCUUCCCAUUUAAAUAUGAAAUUUUGAAUGGUCGUGUAUGAUUUUUUUCUUACUAGCCAUUAUUUUGAGAAUAAUACAAGUUUGACCAACACAACUAUGUCUUUUUUCCUCAUAAUAAAUUUCCAAUCUUGAUUCAUUAUAAUUUUUUAAUGAAAUAAUUCAAAAAAACUACAUACAAGUUGUUAUACAUCUUGCUCAUGUGUGUAAAAGGAAAGAGAUACAUCCUUGUUUUUCAACUAUUAAAAUGAUAUCCUUGGGCCAAUUCUUUCAUUACGUCUGAAUAUUUUGGGAGAAUUGUGGAACCAUUUUGAGACAGUGAAUUUAAAUAGCAUUUUUAAUAUUUUAAAAAAUUAUUAUUAAAAACGUUUUUUAAUAUCCAUUUUUUCAACAUCAGGACCAAGAACGCAAAAUAAAAUAUAAUUUUCCCUACUUGCUACCAAAGAUUUUGGUUGAUUAUUUUUCUGAUAAUAAAUAAUAUUUUAUUUUGCGUUCUUGGUCAAAAAAUGGAUAUUAAAAUAUAUAUAAUUUUUCAGCUACAACAGCGCGCACGGAGCACGCUCUUAGUUAGAACACACUUGUACCCGUCAUCUUUGAUUUAGCUAACCCCGAAUCUCCCUUUAUAUUCCUCUCUGGAUUCAGGAGCCGAGACUCAGAGAUAAGCCAAGAAGCCAUGAAUCCCCUGGCGCUGAUUUUCUGCACGGCUCUCUUCUGCAUUCUCCUCUACCACUUCCUCACGCGCCGCUCUGUCCGCCUCCCUCCGGGGCCCAAGCCAUGGCCGAUUGUGGGGAACCUCCCUCACCUGGGCCCCGUCCCUCACCACUCCAUUGCUGCGCUCGCUAAAACCUACGGCCCUCUCAUGCAUCUCCGUAUGGGCUUCGUCGACGUCGUGGUGGCCGCCUCCGCCUCCGUUGCCGCUCAGUUCUUGAAAACUCAUGAUGCUAAUUUCUCCAACAGGCCUCCUAAUUCAGGUGCCAAGCAUAUCGCCUACAACUAUCAGGAUCUGGUGUUCGCUCCCUACGGCCCCCGGUGGCGCAUGCUCCGCAAGAUUUGCUCCGUCCACCUCUUCUCUGGCCAAGCCUUGGAUGAUUUUCGCCAUAUCCGACAGGUACCUAGCUUAAUCUCUCUCAGAAAUGAAUCCUUUCUCAAUUUUAAUCCAUUUUUCGUUUUUUCUUCCUGAUCGCUUCUAUUAUUUCAUCGCAAAUUAAGAUCUGGUUACACAGAUUUCAUUUUUCCAUAAAAACAUGUAAGAAAAUAAUAGCAUGUGUUCACCAUCAUUGUCUAGUCCUGUCAGAGUAUUUGCAGUCUCCACUCUCUCUGUAUACACUACACAUCUUUUUGAAGAAGGCCCGGCUCCACAAGUUUAUUAUUACUAUUUUUUUAAUGAUUUUUUUUAGUAAGGUUGUUUUCCUCCGGCAGUGGAAGUCCGUGCAUUCACGCGAGACUUUACCAUUUAAUAUUUAAAAUUAUAUUUUUUUAAUGUUUGUUUUAUAAAAAUACUGAACUGACAAAUGAGUUGCCGCUGAGUUUUAUCCAAUUUUGAUGAUUAGAAAAAUAAUCAGUAGAUGAAAAUUUAUGUGACGUACAGGAGGAGGUUUUGGCGCUAAUGCGCGCACUUGCGAGGGCGGGUCAAACGCCGGUGAAGUUGGGGCAGCUGCUGAACGUGUGCACUACCAACGCCCUAGGGCGGGUGAUGUUAGGCAGGAGAGUGUUCGGCGACGGCAGCGGAGGCGAAGAUCCGAAGGCCGACGAGUUCAAAGAGAUGGUGGUGGAGCUGAUGGUCCUGGCCGGAGUUUUCAACAUCGGCGACUUUGUGCCGGCGCUGGAAUGGCUGGACCUGCAGGGCGUAGCUUCCAAGAUGAAGAAGCUCCAUGCUCGGUUUGACGCUUUCCUGGGCGCCAUCGUGGAGGAGCACAAGAUCAGCGGCUCUGCUGGUUCCGAGCGUCACGUGGACUUACUCAGCACGUUGAUCUCGCUGAAGGAUAAUGCCGACGGUGAGGGAGGCAAGCUCACCGACGUUGAGAUCAAAGCCUUGCUCUUGGUAUCUCUCAUUAUCCAUUUUCUGUCACUGUUUCGUCUACUUCUUGUGGUAAUUUGGCACCUGAAAUUGAUGAAAACCGUCUGUUGACAUGGCAGAACUUGUUCACAGCUGGAACUGACACCUCAUCCAGCACAGUGGAGUGGGCCAUUGCAGAGCUCAUUCGCCACCCUGAAAUGAUGGCCCAAGCCCAACAAGAGCUGGACGCAGUGGUGGGCCGAGGCAGGCUUGUAACUGAUUUGGACCUGCCCAAACUUACCUAUCUCCAAGCCAUAGUCAAGGAAACCUUCCGCCUGCACCCAUCCACGCCCCUCUCCCUCCCUCGGAUGGCGGCGGAGAGCUGUGAGAUCAACGGCUACCACAUCCCCAAAAACGCCACUCUUCUAGUGAACGUGUGGGCCAUAGCGCGGGACCCAGAGGUGUGGGAGGAGCCACUAGAAUUCAGGCCCAACAGGUUCCUCCCAGGAGGGGAAAGACCAAAUGCGGACGUGAGAGGGAAUGAUUUUGAAGUGAUUCCAUUCGGGGCUGGCCGGAGAAUAUGCGCGGGGAUGAGCUUGGGACUGAGGAUGGUGCACCUGUUAACCGCGACGCUUGUUCAUGCGUUCAACUGGGAGUUGCCGGAAGGCCAGGUGGCGGAGAAGCUGAACAUGGAUGAGGCAUAUGGGCUGACCCUACAACGAGCCGCCCCACUCAUGGUGCACCCACGGCCAAGGCUGUCACCCCAAGUUUUCGGGAAGUAAAUGAGGUUGUUUGCCCAUAAUUAAAGUAGAAGACUUGGUGAUGGAUUUGGCUGAAUAAUUAU
rnacentral:lncRNA from 1 species